AGGUAUCAUGGAGGGUGAGAAUCCCGUGUUACCAACCACUGGAACGUUAUUAAUACGAUUUCUAAGAGUCGAGUUGUUUGGGAAUGCAGCUCUAAAUGGGUGGUAAAUUUCACCUAAUGCUAAAUAUAAGCGAGAGACCGAUAGUGAUCAAGUACCGUGAGGGAAAGAUGAAAAGAACUUUGAAAAGAGAGUUAAAUAGUACCGUGAAAUUGUUGAAAGGGAACCGGUUGAAGCCAGUCAUGCCCGGUGGGAAUCAACUUAGGGGAAACUCUAAGUGCAUUUUCUUCGACUUGGUGGGGUUAGCCGUCCAUUUUUGGAUUGUCAUAAAAUGACUGGCGGGAAGGGUAGCUACUUCGGGAGUGUUUAAGCCCUUAGUAAGAUGUAAUGUCUGAAAUCGAGGAUUGCAACCG
rnacentral:rRNA from 1 species